GAAAGGAACACUUUGAACAGCCCUUUUGGGAACCCAUACAAGUUGCUCACAUUCAACUUCAUUGCCUGUACUAUAGCAAGAAUUCAAGCCUCUUGCUAGAUACCGAGUCCCAGGAUGAAGCCUACUACGUCGAGCAGUGAGAGCAACAACCCCUUCUUGCUGACCUAAGCUUCCAAAACUUCGGGAUUCUGCAAAGCCCUGCAGAAGAACAACACAAUGCUCUGGAAGUCCUAUCUUUUUGAAGGGCAUUGAAAACCAUUUAUUCCACACAAAUUCAUCAUCAGGGUUCAGCAAGGGCAUACGACUUGGAAAAGGUCUAGUAAUAUCACGUGAUUCACAAAAAUAAUGCUUGCCAUCAAUAUCAAGCUCCAUCACUUCUUGAACAUUCUUAGUUUCACCUUUGCCCAGUGGCUGAGGGUUUUGAAGUGAAAUCUUGAUCCAUUGGGUCUCUGUUACAGUAUAUAUACAUCCACCCCCAGGCAAAUUCGGAAUGCUGACCGAUAACUUUGUCGCAACAAGAAGUAAACCAUAGCUCCCAAGAGAAGCAUAGCCUAGCACAGCUCUGGCAUAGGUUAUACUCUUGCACAGCCAUUUUGAACCAUUCGUCACAUAAUCUAAGGCUUCAUUUUGAGAAUUGAAAAUAUCAUAUCCUGUCUUUGCAUUAUAGCGAAGACUCCCAGUUGUGGGAUCAACAUAG
rnacentral:misc_RNA from 1 species